AGACACAAGGGCAAUCUGGCUGCAAUAUCUGUCACCCCAUUGAUCACCAGGGUUGAUUCGGCUGAUCUGGGUGACUAGGCAGGUGUCCCCUUCAUCCCUCAGUGUUCCAUAUGUCCUCCUAAAGCUGUGUGCCUAGUAGAAGAGGAAGACCUUCCCUGAUAGAGGAGGACCAUUCUUUGGUGAAGGGUAUACAGGUAGCUGCACUCCCUUGCUAGAACCUCCAAGCAAGUUCCCACGUUCCAUUUAUAGGAGAAUGUAGGGCAGUCAAGCUCCUAAGACUCCAGACACAUCUAAAUGAUGUGCUGCAUGUGGCAAUCUGCCUUUCUUG
rnacentral:snRNA from 1 species